CUCCUCCUUCUCCUCCUCCGACACCGACGUCAGAGCAAAGGCAGGAUGUCAGGGAUCACAGACCCAGAGCCCAAGGACAGAGGCCUGCAGAUCAUCUGCAGCCCAGCUGCUGAUGCCCAGGAGGAGCC